rnacentral:rRNA from 1 species
UAGGGAAUCUUCGGCAAUGGGGGGAACCCUGACCGAGCAACGCCGCGUGAGUGAAGAAGGUUUUCGGAUCGUAAAGCUCUGUUGUUAAGGAAGAACGAGUGUGAGAGUGGAAAGUUCACGCUGUGACGGUAUCUUACCAGAAAGGGACGGCUAACUACGUGCCAGCAGCCGCGGUAAUACGUAGGUCCCGAGCGUUAUCCGGAUUUAUUGGGCGUAAAGCGAGCGCAGGCGGUUAGAUAAGUCUGAAGUUAAAGGCUGUGGCUUAACCAUAGUACGCUUUGGAAACUGUUUAACUUGAGUGCAAGAGGGGAGAGUGGAAUUCCAUGUGUAGCGGUGAAAUGCGUAGAUAUAUGGAGGAACACCGGUGGCGAAAGCGGCUCUCUGGCUUGUAACUGACGCUGAGGCUCGAAAGCGUGGGGAGCAAACAGGAUUAGAUACCCUGGUAGUCCACGCCGUAAACGAUGAGUGCUAGGUGUUAGACCCUUUCCGGGGUUUAGUGCCGUAGCUAACGCAUUAAGCACUCCGCCUGGGGAGUACGACCGCAAGGUUG